rnacentral:lncRNA from 1 species
UUUGUUUAGGAACAACUUCUUCUGUAAUGGUGGACACAGUUGCUGCUGCUGUUAUUUCUGAUGUAGGGCCCUCCAGCUAAAUGCAUUGCAUGAAAAUGUAAAUUAGUUGCAACAUGUUUUUAAGCAAACUUUAUUUUCUUUGAUAUUUAAUUUUAGCUUUAUGGUGUGUUUAUGCCUUAAAAUCUCAUCUAUGAAUGACGGAAAAGUGUUUUCUUAUUGUCUAAGGUAACAAGCAUUUAAAGGGGAUCAAAAAGCUUGUUACUGGGUGUUUCUUCACACAUUUCAGGGCUGUGGCUUGCGCUAGGCACAUGAUAUGGCGCACAGGGCCUUGCGGUAGGUAUAUGGGUCAGCUCGCAGGAAUGCCAUAGGUGAUUGGAAGCAGUUUUUCAUCAUCUUUCGAAAUCACAGCAUUUUAUAAUUGAAUUCACAAAAGUUGAUAUGCAUAAUGAGAUGGUACUAUAUUACAUUUUCUUCCUGAGAAGGUUUGAUGGUAAUAUCAGUUUCCACAAGUGUCUGUAAUAAGAACUGUCGAUCCAUUAAUUGUUCAUUCAAUAACUCCUGUAAUAAGAACAGAUGCAUUAGUGAUCUUAGACCAUUGAAUAAGUAAGUUUUUGGAGAGGAAUAUCUCUACUACAUUAGUAACAUUUUCAACAAAUCCAUGCUAUACUUUUGGUGUUUCUUUCAUUUUUAUCUCCAUAAAAAGUAUCAUAUUUGAUUCAAAGACAUUUUUAUCAAUAGAUUGGCAUUGACCUGUGGAGAAGUCAACUGGUGUUCUGAUGGUUCUUGAACUUCACUCCCAGCAGUAAAAUCUUUACUGGUUUCUGCACCUGGAUUUUCAUCACAAGCAUUUUGGCCUUUGAAUAAUUCUUCUGGUAAUUGUCGAUAUAGAAAUUUCUUAUCUCCAAACAGUUUACCAUCUAUAGAAAAAUAUUAUAGAUUGACGUCAUUAGAAAUAAUUUUUUAAGAACCAUUCUAGUUCAUAUGCUUCAAUAUAUUCAUUAACCAAUUACUUAAAUUUUAAGUAUUAAAGACAUAAAAAUGGGUACACUAGAGAUAAAAUAAAUAACUUUACAACAUCAUUGACGGCAUUAUAAUAUAUAUAUAUAUAUAUAUAUAUAUAUAUAUAUAUAUAUAUAUAUAUAUAUAUAUAUAUUUCAAAAGCAAUUAAAAUCACAUACAUUUUUAGAAAUCUUUGAGAAGGGAUAUAUAUUCAUAUAGAAAGUGAUAGUGACAUGCAUGUUAGUGUAUUUCUAGUCUAAAUUUAAGAUUUUGUGACAUAACUUACCAUCAACAAUUUAAAUCCAUAGCAGAAUCUAAAAAUAGACGAAAUCUUAAUAAAAUCGUAUCAAAAUCGCACAAAAUUGUGAAAUUCAUGAAAAUCGCAGGAUUUUGAAGGAUUCUAUCCAUUUUUAUGAUAGAUGUCAAUUUUAAUCUGGUUUGUCACUUGACCCGGAUUAUACCUAUGACCCGGUUCUAUGAAAACAUAAAAAAUCAAGUUUUUUUAUCCUUUCAAACCACACGGUCUCUUCACAGUAGGCAUAACAAUAAGGAGAGGUGGAGCGGGUAUGAGAAAUCGAAUCUCAUCCCUGUCCCCGAUGGAUUUGGGCAUCUCCGCAGUGGAUAAUAUUUUUAAUAAAAAUAAAAGUACUUUUCAGUCGUGAGUUCAAUGUUGUAAUGUAUUAUCUACUAAAGAGAUGAUGACGUUAUAUGGCUAUGAUGAUGGAGAAGAGAGAGGCCGAGAGUGUGAGAUAUGGGAGGAGAAAAAUGAGAACUAUGACAAGUGAGUGUCAUCUAAAAGAUGGAGACUCUAACUGUGUGAAAUGAUUUAGGGUUUGGGUUUCAAUUUAUAUAAAAAAAGGUAAUAAAUUGAUUAUCUACAUUCAAGACGGGUUUAAGUAUAGGUUAGGGAUAGAUAUAUCUCAUACCCGUGUUUUGAAAUCGGGAAAAAUCCAAACUCAUACGUCCCUAAUCCGGUCAAAGCAAGGAUAACCCGUCAAAUUGAGUUUGGUUUUAGCGGGUACCCGCAGAUAUGGUUUUAUUGUUAUGCCUACUUCACCGUAAGAGGUUGAUGGACGUGUUGAUAUGAUUGGGGAUAAUCCAUAUAAUUGACGAUUUCUUCGUGAUUUAUGAUUGAAUCUAUGCUUUGCUUUUAAGUAUUUUGUUAGACAUCUAGUCUUUUGCCUUAAGUAUUUUGUCUAAGUUGUUUCGCAUUAUUAUGACUACUAAGACAUAUUUGACAUCUAGACUUUAAGUCAUUUAUGUAUAAGUAUUUUGUGAAACUUUGAGAUGCAAUUUAUAACAUAUACUCCUUCUGUCCCAAAAUAUAAGCAAAAAAAACUCAUUUUCUUUGUCCCAAAAUGUAAGAAAAAAAAAACUUUUAUCCUAUUUUUUAUUUUUUUUUGGUUGUCGCACCGGUUUCCGACCCACUAAUAAUGGCCGACUAAUCCGGCUCAUGCGUAGAGGCAUGCACACUGGACAAGCGUUGUUCCCCGUGGGAAUCGAACCCGGUAUUCCCCGGGUACAUCCUUGGAAGGAGCUCCUUGCCACUGGAGCCCAAGCAACUUGGUUAAUCUAUUUUUUUUUUAAAAAACCAUAUUUUUCAAGAAAAACUUUUGCUUAUUCUCAUAAAUUCAAAUGCCAAUUACAUUCAAUUUUCUCUUUCUUCCAUUUUCUCCACAAUAAAUAGCCAAUGAAAAUUGUUUUUACAUCUUACCAUGAAACUUAUUCCAGACAAAACACAAAAAACUAUACUCUAAAUUCUUAUGUUUUAGUUUUCUUAAUAAGUGUGAUUUGAGGUUUUUUUACUUAUAAUUUUGGACGGAGGGAGUAUUUUAACAUUAUUUUUAUUUUGAUAGAAUCCAUCAAUUUUAAUUGCGAUUUUAGAAUUUUUGAUUUUGCUAUUCUAUGUCGAUUUUACAAUAAAAUACCUUUACAAGGCACCGGAGGAGAUUAUAUACAACAGGAGAUGUGAUGCUAGGAGAGGGUUUAAAUUAUGAAAUUGUUAUAUCAUCAUCCUUAUGAAAUUGUUCCUCAAUAUUUGAGCUUACUUUCUUCAAAGAAUCAUCAUUUGAAAAAUAACAGAGUUAAAAAUCAAAAGGAUGAUGAAUUUUGAAGUAACAUAAGAAUAGAAAAAAUAUAUUCAAAGCAUUUUCACCUUGGUCAUUGGUCUCUGUAGUGGAAAUGGAAAAAGAAUUCAUGGCUUUUUUGCUAUCAUCAUCUUCCUACACAGAUUCAAAUCAACAAAUGAUAUUAUCAUAUCUUAAGUCUUAAUAUGUAUGUUUAAGUCAGGAAGAGUCUUGUUUUUUAAAAAUAAAAUUGGGAAAGUUACACUAGAAAUGACACAUUUUCAGAUGCCCUUGAGAGCUUAAUUUGACAACAGAUUUAAUAAAAAGUAGAAAACAAAAUAAUUUCAGAACAACACUUUGCGUUAACUUUAGAUCCAAGAUUGAAAAGCAGUAGAUUAAACACAAAAAUUACACAAAAACUAGUUUAAAACUUGAUUCUUAGGAAUGCAACUGCGUGGAAAAUAAUGAAUAAAAAACAUGACAACUCUAAACUCACAUGUGAAGAUGUUUUACACUCAGAAGUAACUAACUGUCCUGAUGAUGAACCUGCUACAUCUAAAUGAGCUGAUGUAUUUCCUUCUUCAACAUAUAUCUGGAUACCCUGCUUAAAUGUAAAAUGAUAUUUAAAGAUUGUAGUAUAAUCCAAGGUGGCACGAGGCCUUGCGUGAGGCGCAUGGCCUAGCUAGCAGUUAUGCACUAGCUGCAUGGAAGCAGUUUUUCAGCAUCUUUUGAAAUCACAACACUUAAUUACAAAUUACUUCUGAAUUUAUUGUUAAUAAUGUUUAAUUUUAUUUGCACAAAAAGACAUUUUUAUAUGCUUAUUGUAUUCACCUGUGGAGAAGUCGGCUUGUGUUCUGAUGCUGCUCUGACGCUCUGUCUUCGUAUUUGGCGAAAUUGAUAACUCAAAUAAUAAUCAUCUAUAUAAAAUAUUAUAGAAUAACAUCAUUAGAUUGUAAUUCAAAUAAUGAAACUGUUGACUAGAUGUACAGUUGUUUAUCUGUCUAUCGUUAAGCUUCUAUUAGUAAAGUAUUAUUGUUAAGCUUUCAUGAGUUCUUACAUAUUACAAAUACUUAUUCAAGAACCAUUCUUGUUUAAAUGCUUCAAUUGUUUAUAUUCUUUAAACCAACUAGUUAAUUUUUAAAUAUUAAAAAAGACAUAGAAAUGUGUAUAUUAAAGAUAAAACAAAUAACCUUUGGACAUCAUUGACAGCAUCAUAAUAUAUAUGCUUUAGAUUAUAAGAGAAAUGUGUAUAUUUCAGAAGCAAUUAAAAUAACAUAUAAUUUUGAAAUCUUUGAGAAAGGAUAUAUAUUCAUAUAGAAAGUGACUAUAUAUUCAUGUCAUUAUAUUCUAACGGACUUUGUAGCAGUCUGCAUUUGUAAAACACACACAUUCAAGAACGAACAUGUAAUGGUUAUGAACAAUAUUUGGUCAAGUUUGUACCUUUCAUGAAAUCCCAACUAUCAAAGUCACCUUCAAUAUUGCAUGAAAAUGAACUAUGUAUAAAACGAUGUUUCACUGCCUGAAAAUGAACUUCCUGGGCAUGGCAGAGGCUUGGUAGGUUGGCAAAUCCUACAGCUUUUAGAUUUGGAAUCUGAACUUCACUUUUGGAUAUUUCUUCAAUCUCAUCUUUUUUAUCACUUUUGAAUAUUUCCUCUAACUCAUUUGCUUCUCUUAUUAUCAUAACAUUUAGCUCAGGAAACUCUUUACAAAUGGAGACUGGAAACACAUAUUUCAACUUGUCACAUUUUGUUACAACCAGUGUUUCUAGCUUUGGGAAGAAUGUGUUUGAAGACUGAAAAUUUUUAUCCUCCAAAUCAUCUUCAAUGAUAUGCUUCAACUCUUUGCAUUCUUCUACUUUUAGUUUAACCAAUUGUGGUAGUCAUCUUAAAACAGAUGUGGAGAAAACAAUUUCCAAUUUUUCACAUCUAUCGAUUUUCAUCUUUGUAAGGUUAUUGAGGACAAAUGAAUAUUUGAGACCCACAAAAAGACACCUCAUCAUAGGCAGAUCAUUCAACUUAAUGUUUUCCAAACUUAAGUUCAUUUGUUGUCCAUUUUCUUCAUUGCCACUCAAUUCCUAUUUGUACGCGCACAAAAUAUAUUAGCAUAUUAUUUUAAAAAUGGUAGUAUCAAAAAAAAAUAUCAUUUUAUAUUAUAUGGUAAUAACAUUUCUAAAAUUAAAUAAGAUAUCAUUUUAUAUUAUAUUCUUAAAUUACUGGAAAUUAAGGCAUAUUAUUUUAUAUUAUAUACAGUAAUUUUUUUUUAUAGGGAAAAUGUAUGUAUACAGUAAUUAUUCCUGGGCCAUCAUCUUUUACGUAUACAACACUUCCGAUUGUAAUUUAUGACUACUUUGUUGGUUACAUGAUAUUUUUUUUGAGUAAUAUUGGUUACAUAAUAGGCAGUGGAUGAUAUAAGAUUGCAUAAUGUACCCAAAAUAUAAUUAUAAAAUGCAUAAUGUCAAAUUAAAAUAUUACCAAAAUAGAAAACUGUGAAGAAAAAAAUGUUUUUUUUGAAACAUUUUUUUUAAGGAAUAUAUUUUUUUUUUUAAGGAAUACAUGAUUGGAGCACUGAUUAACAUUUCCCUUUUUUAAAAAAAAAAUCGCUAUUUCAAAAAAUUGCCUUUUUUGAAAGAGGGAUACCUUGAUGAUUGUACCGUCCAUAGAUCUUUUGUCGAAAGGUGGAAGAUGAUCAUGAUUGUAGUGUCCAAAUAUGUAUUCCAAUUGCACACAAUUUACAACCCAAAGCGUUUUCAAUUUUGGGAAGACAUUGCCAAAAUUAUUGCCACUAGUACUGUUAUGAUCUCCAGUGUCUAUUAUUAUUUGCUUCAAUUCUUCACAGUGCAAAAUUAUUAAAGUUUCCAACAUUCUUGGAGCAAUAGAUUGGAUAAAUACAGAUUUAAUCUUCGGAAAAUUACAGAUUUCAAUCUCUUUAGUAUUGCACAGGAUAUGUGAUUGUCUUAGAAGACAUUGAGCACGUUCCCAUAUGUCAAGGCAAUGUGAAUUUGAUUCCUGCAAUGUAAUUAUAUAAUCCCAAUGAAAAGAAACUCAAAAUUAAUAGUAAGUAAUCUUCAGGUUUAUGAUCAUGUUUUAUACACACAAAAGCUAUAAUAAUAUAUAAGAUACAAGUUAUCUAUUAAAAGAGAAGGUGAAAAAAAGAAGAGAGGGUUACCAAUGAGAUUGAGCAGUCUUGUGGUUGAUCCUCAGAAACAGAUGGGAUUUUCGUACUCUUCAGUUUGUAUCUAUAACAACACAUAGAGAAUGUAUUGCUUUUGAUAGUGUCAAGUUGUGUUUGUGGCUUAGAACCAUCUUGGGAAAUGGAUGAAGCUUUGGGUGGACAUAUGUCGAUGAAAUUUGGCAAAUCUACAAUCGCCACCUCUUUUAGUGAUGUGAGUUUGACAUCUUGGUGUUGGCCAAAUAUGUAUUUCAGCUUGUCACAACAUUUUAUUCUGAUAACUUCUAAGAACUCAAAGUCUCGAGCAGAGAGAAUUGGAAGUAUAAAUUGUAAGUGGUCACAUUUCUCAAUAUGAAGAACUUUCAGCAUUGGAAACAAUGAGUAGCAACUAUUUUCAAUUGUGACAUCCGUUACUGUUCUUUCAAAUGCAAUUAUGUUUUCCAAUUUCUUACAAUUAACUAUUUUCAAUUUCUCCAACAGCGGCAAGCUUUGAGAAGUUGAUAGUUCAAAAACAGAAACCAAUUUUGAGCAUUGUUUUAAUUCCACAAUCUUUAGACUGCUGAGAUUUAGGCUGCAUUUAAACAAGCUUCGCAAAUUUUCACACUCCUUGAUAUACAGCUUUUUAAAAAAUUUCAUUGAGUCAUAGGAGAUGGGACCAUUGCAUAAUUCUUCCAAAGCUUCCAUUCUCUCAAGCUCUAGUACAGCCAACUUUGAGAAAACAAUUGGUUUUUGAAAUUGUUUAGUGUCUACAAGGCACUGUAGUUGUGAACUACCUUCCAAAUGAAGCUCAAUUAGAUCAUUCAUACCUUGUUUUAUAGGAACCAUCUCUGGCAUGAGAUUUCUAUAUCCCUCCAUUCUAAACAGAUGAAGACAAUAUGAUGUUUGUAUCACAUACUUAUAUGUUGCUUUUGAUAAAUAAUCUUCUCGUAAAGCAACAACUUUUAAUUGUGAAGCAUCCCAAUAUCUAUAAAAAUCACUGAGAACAUACCUUUCCAAUCUAGGUAAGGUUAUUUCUUUACAAGAUUUAUUGAAACUCUUCAAGAAGUACAAUUCUUCAAGUGAUGGGCAACUCUGGAUAACUUCAAAUGGAUUAUUGUUUUUAAUUUCACAUUCUUUCAAGCACAACAAUCUAAGUUUCUUCAACUUUGCAAUUUCACGGGAAAAUUCAUCAAUUUCACAAUAAUGCAAUUCAAGAGUCUCAAGACUUUGCAGGCUUCCCAAAACAGAGAUGUCCCCCAAAAUGACUUUUUCAACUGAUAGAGAACGAAUAUUGAUCAUUAACUUAAUUGAAUUUGCUAAUGAUGAAUGUCUCGCAGAAUUUGAAUUUGAGAAAAUCAAAACUCGAAGCCCUGCCAUAUUUUCAAGGAAUGAAGUGUGGACAUCCUGGAACUCACACUCUUUUGCAAUUAGAAUCUCAAGCUUAGAGCCAUCAGACCAAUGACUUUUUGAGGAAAAUAAUUCACUUAGUUUUCCAUGGAAGUACAAAAUUUUGAUAUUCUUACUCUUUUCGACCAAUGACUUUUGAUUUUUUUCAAAUAAAUUUUCUGCUAGAAUCUCUUCCUUCACUAUCCAUUGGGCUACUUCCCGAACCAAGUCAUGCAUCUUCACAUCUCCUUUCUCUGUCUCCAACAGUAGACAUGAACGUAGGAGUUUAUUUUUUGCUGCACUUACUUGAGUUCGAGCAUCAUUGUAUUUGUCAUAACCUUCCCCAAAAAGGUUGACUCCUAUACCAAGCCUAGUUAGAAGUUCAACAGAAAUCUCUUCAUCUUCAGGGAAUGCAGAACAUAAGAGGAACAAUCCCUUUGCUUUUUCAUCCUUCAGAUUAUCAUAGCUAAACUUCAAACAUUUAAAAAUGUCAACCAAAUGAUCUUCAACAUUGCCCAUGGACAUAGGAUAUUUUAAGGAAUUCAAGGCAAGAUCCCACUCUGCACGAUGUUUUUUUCCCUUCAAACUUCUGGCGAUAGUAACAAUUGCAACUGGUAAUCCUUUGCAUAAAGCUACGAUUUCACGUACCUUAUCAAGAAUACUUAUGUCGGAAAUAUUGCUUAGUUUGGCAUACAUUUUGAACAUGAUCAAUGCAUCUUCUUCAGUUAAGUGUUGUAGUUGAAUUGUCUUUCCACAUUCCAUUUGUUCGCAUACCUCCAAUUCACGUGUGGUUACAAGAACUUUGCAUCCUUUACAAUUAUCACUAUUUGGAAGCCCUAUCUCAUCAAAAUUGAGAUUUUUCCAGACAUCAUCCAAUAUCACAAGAAUUUUAUCACCAUUGGUUAAUCUUUUCCACAAACUUUUAGGUCGAUCUGAUUCAUUUUUGUUUUCCCAUUCCAGUACUAAGGAUCCGGCAAUAUCAUCUUGAAUCUUUUUUAUAUCAAGAUUAGAUGAAACUGUCGUAUCGAUAACAUAAUUGAAAUGCUUCAAUGUCUUCAGUUGUUUACCCACUUCUUUUGCCAAUGUAGUUUUACCAGAACCCCCCAUUCCAUGCAAUCCAACCAUAUAGUUGCUGUCAUCUUUUAGUGCAUCCAAAAGCUCUUUACGUUUCAACUUUCUGCUUUCAAAUGAAAUGUAAUCCUUAGAAGAAUAUCGCUCAACACCAGGAAGACCACGAGUAAUUUCAAUAUUUUCAAAUUUUUCUGCCUUUUCUAUUAGAUCUUUAAUCACUUUUGUCUUGGUUGCCAAAUCCUCUCCCCUUUUAUAUCUCCAAAUACAAUCAGGGCAAAAUCCAAGAAAACAUCUCUGUUUUGUCUCAGUGUUCUCUUGAAUGAGCCCGUCAGCUUGUUUUUUCCAAAAUUCAGCAUUAUAUUGAAUAUCUUUACCUUUUUCGUUUGCCACUUUAAAACGUUGUUUCAUAGUUGCAUUUUCUGCUUCCAACUUCUCCUUUUCUUCAUUGAAUUCUUUAACAAUGCGUGUGAAGCAAAGUAAAUAGCGUGAUUUUUCUUUUCCCUUGUUUAACAAUUUUUCAACAAGAGUCUUCACAACUUCAGUCAUGCAACCCUCCAUCUAAAUCAAGUUCAACAUAAUAAAGUUAAAAAUACAAAACUUAUAUUUAAAUAGACAUUACUACAUCCAUUCCUAAAUAUAUGACAUUUUUCUUUCAAAAAAUUUCUGUGAAAGAUUUUCUUUCAAAUUUUAAAAUGCAUUAAUAAUUUCUUUAUCAAUAUACUCCUAUUUAUGCUACAUAUUUUUCAACAAUAUGUAACAAAUAUUCUAUGAAAACAAAAUAUAACCUGAGGUCUACACCAUAUCUAUUUUAAAAAUGGUUAAAAAGCGGACAAUUACUAUCUUUUUGUAAAUAUAAAUUUUAUAAUAAUUAAAAAUAUAAAUAAAAACAAAAAUAAUACUUUAUUAAAAUUUACUAAAAAUAUUUGAAAUAAUCGUUGAACCAAACAUGACAAUAUUCAUAUCUUUAUCUAUCUAUCUAUUAUAUUAUAUUAUAUUAUAUUAUUAUCUCUAUCUCUAUCUCUAUAUUAUCUAUCUAUCUAUCUAUAUCUAUCUAUCUAUCUAUAUAUAUAUAUAUAUAUAUAUAUAUAUAUAUAUACAUGUAUUCUAAACUACAUUUUACUUAUGUGUUACUUCACCAAUGUUUCCCUUUUGUAACUAAUCUCUCAUACUUAUGCCAUGUGGCUCUCUUUUGUUCUUGAUUCUUUGCUAGCCAUUCCUUACUAUCUAAUCUUUCAUUUUCCAUCAAUUGGAAAAACUCUCCAUUUACUUCACUUCAUGGAAGUUACACAAUGAAUGUGUUAUAAUCCAUUUUAUUAAUAGCGAGGGGUUACAUUUUAAAAUUAUUCAUAUUCUUCUUCAAAAAAAAAAAUUAUUCAUAUUCUUAGUCAAUCAUCUUACACACACAAGUUUACUAUAAAGCUCCUCAUUUUUUCUAAGCUCAUAUAUAUGUUGCUUAUGUUAUCCUUCUCAUUUCUUCUUCCAUUUCAUUUUUUUUUAUAGUUUUGAUUCUCUCUUCAAGCUUCGUGAGUGUGUGUUUCUAUCUAUAAUUUUUCGUAUUCUCUAAUGGAUAUUUUUUCUUUCAUUUCACAAACACAGGUUUUGGAAAAAGGGAGAAUUUUGUUGAAAGGACACUUCAUAUAUGAAAUGGUGGUUGUAUUUUUUAUUGAAAUUAAAAUAUUUUUUCAUUAUCAUUUUUUAUUUAACAUUGUUAUGGGAUCAAGAGUUCACUAAACAUGUGGAAGGAAACAUAUUAAAAAAGUUUAAACAAUUAAUAUUUUUGUUAUUCAUUUUUAUUCCAAGCCAACAUGUGGUUGUUACUAUAACUAUUAGAUAUUUUUCCUUCUCAACUAAUUGCCAUAAGAUGGAGGAGGAUUUUGAUGGAGCUUACAAGAAACUCAAAACUCUCAACAUCAAAAAUCCUAAAUGGUCGAACAAGAGAAACUAAGAAUCUUUAUCCAUAGGUGUUGGUUUAAUUUGAUCAAGUAUCUUUUUCUUUGUAAUAAGAGAAAAAUACUCUUAUUAUGUUUUUAAUUGAAUAGUUUCUUAUAAGAUUAAGUAUCCUAGGUAACUAAUUGUAGAAAUACACAUCUAUUUAACAUUUGGUUUUGAAUCGAAUAGCACAAUUUUCCGUCCUUUUUAAUUAUAUAUACAUUUACAUAUAUUUAAUUUAAAGCAUCAGAUUUUUUGUUUUGUUGUAGAAGUUAUAUAAUUAGACAUUAAAUUGGUUUAAAUUAAAAAUAGUGAGAAAAAUCUUUACAGAGUGCCACAUUAGUACAAUACUUCCAUGAGAACAAUGCAAGCUUAGAUUAUGUGAAGUAAAAAGGUGUUCUAAAUCAUAGAAAGAGGCAUGUAAUGAAAACCAGAGAGUGUCCAAUUGUUCCCUCACUCUUCACUUCUCUUUGACUCAUGUGGUAGUCACAAAUUAGUGGUUUUUGACACAAUCCUUAACUAUUGUUUAUUCUCACCCUUUAUUAUAUUUCUAUUAAUUCAACUAUGAAAUUCUACAGGCCAUUGGUAAGAUAGAGAAUUGAGAGAUAUAGAGAAUAAUAUCCUAAAAUAUAAUAUGAUAUAGAGAAGGGUAAAGGAAAUUAUCCAAGUUACACAUAAUAGUUUGCUUAGGAUCCUAAAAAAAAAAGUAGUUUGCUUACGGAAAACACUAAAUAAAUUUAUAUAAUAUGACAUAAAAUUUGUUGCAAGUCCUUAAGACAAUUCAUUAAGAAAAAUGAUUCAACCAAAAUAAAUUAAAACCAUUAACUACGAUCUCUAUAUUUCUAAAUUAGCUUUCUAAAAAAAAUUGGCAUCUAACUAUCUAUCUGCUAUAUAUAAAGUAAACUUGAGUUAUUUGUAGGCUUUAACUAUACCUAUGUGUAAGCUAUUAUAUUUUUUAAUAAAUAAUUGUGUAAGCUAUUUGUUUUUAAGAUUGAGGAAUUAUUGAAAUUAAAAAUGGAUAGAUUGAAUUUCAUUGGAAUAAUCAAUCUAUGAUGGAAAACAAAUUGGCCCUUCUUCCUCAGUAUAUCAAAGAGCCUGUUAUAUAUGAGGAUUCAUCAAUCUUUGAGAAGGAAACUCCUUAUGGAUAUUUAAGGAAUAAGAAGUCUAAACUUAAAUUCAUUAGUAGGUCUCUUUGGAGAAAUCCAAUCAAUGUUGUAUUGAGGUAGUGUUGUUUAAAAAUAGGAUGGUGAGACAAUUUACAGGCCAUUGGUAAGAUAGAGAAUUGAGAGAUAUAGAGAAUAAUAUCCCUAAAAUAUAAUAUGAUAUAGAGAAGGGUAAAGGAAAUUAUCCAAGUUACACAUAAUAGUUUGCUUAGGAUCCUAAAAAAAAUAUUAAACUUACACACGAUUAAUACACUUUGGUUAGGCUUUGUGUAUUGCACAAUUUCCUGAAUUUUUUUUUAUUGAGAAUUAAAAACAUUUUCAUCUUGAUUUCUACAAUAAAAAACACACACGCACAUAUAUAUAUAUAUAUAUAUAUAUAGGUUUGCUACAAUAGACCUACCUUUUUUUGUGAAGGUCCAUUUUUUCAUUUGGACCAAAGACCCAUUUUUUUUGCUUUUUGAAAGAAUAAAAAUUAAAGGAUAAAAUUGUAAUUUAGGUCUUGUGAUUAAUUGUGGGGUGUAAGCUCUUUCUCUCUCCCUUUGAUUGCUGCCGUGUUCCUUUCUUAAAAAAAAAUGACUUCAAUUCCUCCAUUUUCAGUUGACGAAAAUCAAGUUUAAAUCCUUUCCUAUGACUUUUGUUCUUUGUAAUAUGCGUAAGAUAGAAGAUUAAUAGAUUAGAGAAUGAAAUGCUGGCCGAAGAGUGUUAUUGUAAUUAUGGCAAAGAACAAAUACACAUAUGUAAAUGGUAGAUUUUUUCAAUUGAUAGAUAAGAACAAAUUGACAGUUUAUCAUUAUUGAUUUAAAAUUGUUUGUGGUUUAAUUUGAUUUUUCAAUUUUCACUAUAGAUUUGGGACAAACAUGAGUAAAGGGUACAUUUUUUAAGAAUGAAGAGAUUGUAUUAACUUAUAAUUGUAGACCUCGUUGGUGUUGCGUAAAACUAGCUUCAGUUACCUGGAAUUGUUGAUAGAAAUUGUUGAAGAAAACAACAUGGAAGAAGAAUGGAAAAGGGAAUAGAGAGAGAAUUAGUGAGAGAGAAUACGAAGAAGAGAAAAGGACACAGAAAAUAAGAAACAUUAAUCACAAAAAUUAGUGUUGCGUAAAAUUUACAGCGUUUUACAUAUUUUACCCGGUAUCAAAACAUGUUCUAAUAUUGUAAACUUUAUCAGUGAUUCACUGCUGCCAGCAACGACAUUAGCCACCGACACCACCACCUACUAGCAGUGAUUCAUUCCUGGAGCGGUUGUAUAUUUUUCAGCAGGUGUUUAUCACUGUUCUCAUCCUUUCCAGUGACAUUGACACCCUUUCCCACUGUGAAAAUACCACCUGCUACUUUUCAGGUGUAACCGAACAUCGAGCGCCACCACCAUACCUCUGUGAAAUCCUCCAUUGUGCACGACAUCCAUUUCUUCGGUGCCAUCUUCGGAUGCACACACCUCAAGGCACAAUUUCUUUCCUUGUGCUUGAGCCCCAUAUGUUGUUGCCAAACUUCGGAUCCUCCGAGUUCUAGAUCAGGCCACCGCAUAUCGAUGACUCUUUUUCCACAUAUGAUUAUUAAUGGUGCGUUCUCUACUCAUUGAUUAUCAUCUUGAUGGUGACUUUUGUUUUGUUGUAAAAAAUUAAGAAUCUUUAGAUAUUCCUUUAAUUGUAUAACUUCAUAGAUUGAUUGUUAUUAUUCCUAGAAUAUACAACAUCCUAGGUUAGUGCUUACUAAUUAAGCUUACAACUCGUGUGUGAUAUUGUAUGAUAUAAUCAGGAUCGUCUCAACCAUUAUGCCAAUAGAGUCCUUGUUUUAGGCUCCGAUUUUUUUGUCUUUUAUAAAUAGUAUAUAUAUAUAUAUAUAUAUAUAUAUAUAUAUAUAUAUAUAUAUAUAUAUAUAUAUAUAAAGUAANUAUAUAUGUUUGUAUUACUAGUAUUGAGAUAGUAUUAACUUUUUUAGGUUUAUAUUGAGAAAGUCGCAUUGAAAUUAGAUGAAGUUAGGGACGAAAUUAAAUUAAAAAUUGAAGUUGAAUCAACUUGUGAGUGUUGAAAAUUUUGAGAUUUUGCAAUGACUAUUUGGUAUGAGAUAUUGUUUGCAAUAAAUUCAAUUAGUAAAAAAUUUCAAUCUAAGAGAAUACGCGUAUCAAUGUUCUUAUAGAACGAUUAAAUGAUCUAGUUAAUUUUUUUUUGAAAAAUAUAGGGAAAAGGAUUUUGAAACUGUUAUAAUUUUUUUUUAAAGAAAUUGAUUUUGAAAUAGAUAUAGAAUUCCAAUUCUUCACAAAAAAUAAAAAUAAAGAACUAUUUGUAGAAACAAUUUGACGAUAUCGUUGAUAAUGAAGUUGGAAAAUCUUAAAAAGAAUCACUUAAACUUGGAUUAUAUCUUAUACGUAGUAGAUAAAGCAAAUUUUCCAUUUCAAAUAAGUGAAAAGAAUAUUUACUGAAUUAAACAUUUUAAAAAUAUUAUACAAGUACAGAAUGAUACAUCAAUUUACAUACUUAGUUAUGUAAAAGGAAUUUAUUCUUUUCAAAAUUAAUAUUUAUGAAAUCUUAUCUAAAAUUGGCAAUGUCUCAACAAAUAUCUAAAAUAUGCAAGGUUCGGGGUUCAAACCCCGGACACCAUAAAAAAAAAUUAUCAAAUUGAUUAACUUUAUUAUUAAUUGAAAAUGAAAUUGUAAAUUAAAUCCAUCAUGAUAAUUUAAUAAACGGUUGUACAUCGUAAAAAGUCCAAAAAAUAAAAUUUACAUUGAGAAAAAAAUUAAUUUUAAAAAGGCUCAAUUCUUAAAUUAAAAAAAAAAUCUGAAUUAUUUUAUAAUUUUUUAAAAUCCGAAAAAAAAUAGGAAGGUUUUUUCUGAUUUUUAUUUUAUUUUUAAAAUUUUUGAAAAGAAAAAUUGAUUUUUUUUUCAAUUUUUAUGGAUUUUUAAAAAUUAAUUUUCAGAUUUUUUAAAUUGUUUUUUAUCUUUUUUAAAAUAAAAUAUGAUGUGUUAAAUGAAUUUCACGCAUGGCAGACCAAAAAAAAUGUCUUGACAAUGCCACCUCAUGGUAUCUGCUGAGCCAUAAGGCAUAUGGUGCAAUUGUGAAGAAUUUUUAUUUUUCAAGAACCGAAUCCAAAUAUUUUUGUAAAGCACUCUUAACCCUUAAAUAUUCUAUUAAAUGUCCCCUAAACAUAGUUGAGUUGAUCGAGACAAUACAUUGUUAUAUGCAGGGUUAGAGUUCGAACUAUUUACACCACACUUAUUUACAUUAAAAUGUGAAUUUUAACCAUUAGAGUACUUGAUAAAAAAAAAAUCGAUUAAAUGUUAUAGAAUAAUUAAAUAAAUUAAUCAAUUAGUUGGUUAAAAUAAUUUACUAAAUGGUAAGAAUAAUCAAUUAAAUGAGUAACCUAACCUACAACUGGCCAAGUGAUGAUACGUUAUUUGGCCAAGUGAUGAUACGUUAUUCCUUCAAAAAAAAAAGUGAUGAUACGUUAUGAUUUUAAUAGAGACAAUCGAUUGUAUUUGUUAAGUAAUCUAUUAGGCCUUGUAAUAAUUGAUUAGAUCUAAUAGUUAAUCGAUUAAGUGAUGGUAGAACCUGUAAUAAUUGAUUAGAUCUAAUAGUUAAUCGAUUAAGUGAUGAUCAGAACCAUAUAAUAUAAUACCUAAGUUAUGAUUCCAAUAGACUUGUAAGUGUUUUCUUUCAACAAAAAAAAAAUAGACUUGUAAGUGUUUAAUAAAUUAUGAUAUUAAUUCAAUCGAUUAAGAGUCUUAGCUAAUCAAUUAAAUAUUGAUUUAAAUGACUAAGGGUCUUAGUUAAUUGAUUAGGUGAUUGUUUAACUGAUUAAGGGACUUAGUUAAUCGAUUAAAGGCGAGUUAGAAUCUGGGUAAUGUUUAUGUAUUGAUAAUAUUUAUAUAUAUAAGGAUUAAUAUGUUUGUAAUAAAGGCUAUCAUGUUUUCUUAAAUGAUAAAGUCUAUUAUGUAUGGAUUAUUAUGCCUUAAUAUAAGCUAUCAUGUUAUCCCUCAAAAAAAAAAAAAAAAAAAAAAAAAGCUAUCAUGUUAAGAGAUUAAUGAAUUAUGCCAUCAUGAUUAGUAUUCGUUACUAGGUGAUGAUUGAUAGAAUAGACGAAUAAACCUUAUUGUGGUAGAAAUAUGUAAGAAUUGAAAUAAGAUGUGUUGAUGAUAUACUCCCUCCGUCCCUAAUUAUAAGACUCUUUUGAGAAUUUUUUUUGUCCCUUUUUAUAAGACCCUUUUGUUAUUUCCAACUACAUUAAUUAUUUCUUUACAUACAUGCCCUUAUUUAUUAUACAUCUUUCUCUUCAAUCAACAAUAAAUAACAUGUUGAAAACAUAAACUAACCUUCUUUCUUAAAGGAUAAAAUUGUAAAAACAAUAGUAAUUACAAACAACUUUAAUACAAAUAUUCACUAUCUUAAUUCCCGUGAUUUUAGCAAAAGGGUCUUAUAUAUAGGGACAGAGGGAGUAUUAAGUUAGUAAUUAAUGUGUAGCUAGUUGUAUGAUGAUAAAUGUGUAUGAUCUUCUUGCUUGGUAUUCAUAUGAUGAUGAUUAUAUUUUCUUAACAUAGGAGAUUUGUAUAUGAUAAUCAGUUGUCAUUAGAUCCAAUGUUGUAGGUCAAUAUUCUUGAGUACCUCUGUUAAUGAUAGAUGAUCCAGUUUAACGAAAAAUGAGUAUGAGGCAUGAACCCAUUGGCCAUUGUACACAAUAAAUAUUACACCAAAACCAAAAUAAGGAAUAGGAAACAAAACAAAAAAUGAUGGAAGCAUACUGACUUUUUUAAUCAUCUAUUUUUAUUUUUUUUUAUAGAAGAACCACCUAUUUUUUUUGUGGUGAUAGAAGAACCGCCUAUAUUAUCAUUAACAAUAUACAAAUUCAAAUAUGUAUAAAUUUAUUACAUUAUGAAAAAGUUAGAUAAUAAAUGCAUCAUGUGCUCCUUUAAGUUUGUUGCUCUUACCAAAUUAGUUCUUUAUGUUUUUUAAAGAUCAUAAAAAUGAAUGUUCAAAUAACAAAACUCUUUUUUAAAUACCAAACUAACCUUUAAGUUAUACAACUCUGUCAAAGAGUGCUAACGUGGUCGUUAAACGCCAGUGUGGCACAUCCAAAUUAGCAAAAAAUGAUAUUUUUCAACUAUUUUUAUUUAUUUUUUUAAAAACCCAAAAAAGAAAAAGUUAAGAAGUUUAAGACAUUUAUGGGUCUUUUUUCAAUCAAACCUAAUAUUAAAUUUAAGGAAACAAAUAGUAAAUAAUUGUAAAAAAUUAAUAAAAAAAUUAUUACCACAAUAAAGUUUGUUUUUUUUUAAAAAAAAAACUCAAAUUUUCUUUUUUAUGAAAAAGAAUAAUUCAAAUAAAAUAUGAUAUCUUGAUUACCUCGCUUCUUGUACACAAGAAAGAAUCUUCCCCUUUCUCAAAUCAGCAGCGGCCAGCAGAAGCCAUGUUUCUCCAAUUGCAAGCAGAAGCCUGAAAGAAACAAAAUCAUCAGGGAGACACUAAUAUAACAUUUUGAAUAUGCUUUAGAGAAAACUAACCCGUUAAAUUCAAUUUGUGUACACUCUGCUGAAACCUUUUCUUGAAUAAUACACUCCCGUAAAUUUGUGUAAAUAAGGUUCUUUCUCUUUCUCUAUUAUCGUUCAAAAAAAAAAUAUAUCUUUCUCUUGAGAACUUUUUUCCUAACAAGAUUCAUUUUGGUUGUUGAAGUGACAUUGAAUAUUAGUGAUAAGGUAAUGUUGUGAGGACAUUUGAGGAUGGUAUAUGGUAGAACUUAUAAGAUUUUAAUAAAGUUGACAGAGAGAAAGGAUAUGGAGACGUAGAGGCUUUAUUUGGUUAUAAAGUUGGACUGGAAAAUUACAGUAGUAGAUAUAAAUAUGGCCGGUUGUGGUAGUUGUCUUGUUUAAAGGAUUACAUAGCAUUAUGAGUAGUACUUUGCAAGGUGGUUGUGAGCAUUUGUUUAGUACUUUGCGAGGUGGUUGUGAGCAUUUGUUAUCGUGACUUUCUUACCAAUUAAUCUCUCACACGCGCGCGCACAUAUAUAAAAUAAAUGCUAGUAAUACAGUUUCUAAUACUCAUAUUUUUAUUUGGAUGAAAUUCAUGUGGAUCUCAUCACUUUAUGUGGGAUCCAUUUUCAAUAUAUGUUACCCACAUGUGGAUCUCACUCACUCCUUAUAGAUAUAGACAGGAUUCGUUGACACCAAGUGCCAACGGAUUUGACCAUUCCAUCCAAAGAUCCAAAAAAAUUUUGCUAACAUAAGCAAACAUAAACACAGAAUAUAAGCGUGAAAAGUCAAUUCAAACAUAUCAAAAGUACAAAGUUUAAUCAUCGAUCCUCAGAUAAUAUAGGCCUAAAUUAACUUUCAAAUGGUUCAUAAAUCUAAUAUACAUAUUUAGUAUUACAUGGAAACUACACCCUUUUUUUUUUUCCAUUUGAGAAACUACCUACCUAUAUACCUACCUAGCACCACAUAAUUAAUUUGUCACUCAACAGCUCACAACUCUAUUGAGUGGAAAAGUCUUCACAACUAGAAUCCAGACCCACACCUUCACAUUCACACCCGCGCCAAGAGUGGAAUUUCCAAAGCCUAUAAAAAAUGAAAUUGUUGUUAUCUCGCUGUAAUUGCCUAGAAUAAUAUUUUGAAAUGCUUAUGUUUGCUAUUUUCCUUUUAUUUGCUUUAUCCUUCUUUUUGUAGGCUUUAUUGUGUCAUGUAGCUAUCUCUCAGCUUAGAGUGUUUUGCCUUAGAUCGGCUUUGGUGUAUUGAUCAUGUGUAUAUGGGUUCAGGCCCCUACUCCUGACAUUUAGUGUUUUUUGUGCCUUAUCAAAAAAAAAAAAUCGCAGCUAUCUUAUUCGUUAUAAUAUGGGGUACGUUCUUUCUAUUGCGUUAAAAUUUGAAAUUAUGAACUAUGUUUUUUUAAUGAAAUUUUGAUUUUGAUUAAAACUAAAAAUAUAAAUGUUGUUGCUUUCUAGUUAUAACAAACCAAAUUACAUGAUUAUCUAUUUUAAUAACACCAACAAUAUAACAAAAAAUUAUAAUCUAAUUUUUUUUAUGACACCAACAAAAAUCUUUAUUAUAGUAAAAGAUAUUUAAGAGUAUAAUUGGGAUAAUAAAAAAUAAGUAUAAAUAUACUCAUCUAGUUCUUUUUAAAUGAUAAAGGAAUAAAAAUCAAACAUAUAUAUAUAUAUUCAUAUCGUGUUUGUUAUAUUUUUUUAAUAUUUGAAUUUAUUCUUAUUUAUUUAUUACAUAUGUGUUAUUUGUAUUGAAAAUUGCAGAUUUUUUUUUAAAAGAGAAAAAUUCAGCCAAAAAUACUGAAAAGAGUUAUUUUGUUUAUAUAUAGUAUAGAUUAAAAUAAUCUUUUCUUCAAAUUUCUGUUAGUCUAAUUGGAUUUUAGUUUUUGGUAAUAUAUUAAGAUAAACAUUGUAAUCAAAGUUUACAAAAGUAAUAAAUAGAUUUAUAUUUGUAUCAAUUGAAUAGUAUUUUUCUAUUGUAAGAUCUAACAAUUUUUAAAUAAUGUCUAUAUAUUAAAUAUUUUCAACAUAUAUCAGUGAUCCCUAAAAAAAACAUAUAUUACUGAUCAAAGAUUUUUUUUUAUUUUUUUUUUCAGAAAAAGGUCUUACACUGAUGGAGUUGGCUCUAGAUAAACAUGAUAAAUUAAAUUGUCACAAUUUGAUAACCGAAGUUUGAUUUCCAACAAACAAAAUACUAAUACUAAAUGUCUAACAUGAAUAAAUAGAAUCUAUUACCAGGAAGAAGCAAUUUCAGCUGCAAUUCCUUUGGGAGGUAACUCCAUUGUGGUGACAAAUUCAGACUUGUCAAACUUUAGUGCAUCUGUUAUUCAUGACAUGCAAGUUUUAGAGAUUGUACCUGUAUACAGAGGUCCAACAAUCGAUGAACUUUCUAAGUGAAUCAUGGGCUAACAUGGCUCAGAACGUUGAAAUUGUUGAUUUGAACGAAAAUGCAAGUCAGCCAUUUCAAUUGGUGGUCCCUAGAAAUAAGAAACUCAAGAAGAAGCAACCUGAGACGGGAAAAGGAUUCAAGGUGGGUGCCUCAAGUCGUUCACCUCAUUAGUUUGCUUUUUUGCUUUCUAUUUUGUGUUGGUUUUCUUUUGCUUUAUGGAGGGUUUUGGUUUUCGUCCCCCCUCUUCUUUGUACUUUUUUUUUUCUUUCGCUUAAUAUAUGAUUUGGGUUCUGCAGCAUGAGACCCCUCUGCAUCCCAUCUUUUGUUUAAAAAAAAAAAAAAGAAUAUAUUAUCAUUUCUUAUUUGUUUGCUAGAAGACGAAAUGCAUUCCUUUAUUUCGGUGUUACUUUACCUUAUUCUUCCAUUAUAAUUUAUAACUCUAUUGAUUGUUUGUGCAUACGUGAUAAUUGCACCAUUAUAAUUUAAAAUCGCUUAAAAAGCUAGGGAUCGAAAUUGCUUAUACAAAAUUAAGAGGCCAAAAGUACAUUUUGUCAAAAAAAAUGAAACAAACAUGUCAAUCAUUAGAACACUAAAAAAUACUAACAAUAAACAUAACUCAGGAUAUAUAAUCAAAAGCAAUUGUUACCUUAACAUGAACUGACGUCAUUCCUGCUACUAUUAUCACUUUCAUAUAAAAUCAUAGAUACAUCCUUCAUAAUCAUCAUAAUCAAAACCAUAAUCGUAUUCGCUGUUGCAAUAAUCAUACUCAUAACCAUAAUCAUAAUCAUAAUUAUCAUAAUAAUCAGCAUCAUCAUAAUCAUCACCAUAAUCAUUACCGUCAUUGUUGUUAUACUCAUACACAUAACCAACACCUCCAUUACCACUGUUGUCAACAUCAUAAUCACUCACAUAAUCAUCAUUUUCCUCAUCAUCAUCUUCCUCGACAUCAUAAUCAUCAUCCUCGGUGUCAUACUCAUACACGUAACCAACAACUUCACCACCAUCGUCGACAUUAUAAUCAUACUCAUAAUCUUCACUGUCAUUGUCAUUAUCAGAAUCAUUAUCAUACACAAAAUCAAAACCACUAUCACUGUUGCAGUAGUCACCAACCUCAGGAUCAUCAGAAGCAUCGCUGCAUACACUCUUCCAGCUUCUGUACCCUUGUUCAUAGUCAUCCCACCAAGAGCAUGCCAUUGUUGCAAUUGACCUAGUGUUAUGCAAUAGUAAUGCAAAGGAGUGAGUGAUACUUAUAAUGAGAGAAGUGAUACAAAAAUGUUUUAGACAUUCAAUAAUUUAAAGAUUAUUCCUAAGAAAGCAUAAGAUAUAGUAUUUGUCAGCCUUAAAAUGAAAAUCACAAUUUUCUUCAAAACAAUUAUUAAUCAAAAGGAUUUUUAUGAGAAGCUAUAGUAAAAACAGCUUUCCAUUUGAAGCAAUAUCAACGAAUACAACAAGUAGCAUACAAUGACUAUGUCAAGUACGUGAUUACCCACAAAAAUGUAGCAAUAGAACUGAUCAAGUGGAUUAUUAGACUAAGUACAAGUCCUUAAAAUUAAAGCUAAUUCCUAAACUUUAUUUAGUAAAGUAACUGUACAAUACAUACUACAUACAUUUCCACAUCAAAGAAGUAAAAUUUUAUAAAUCAAAGUAUUCCGUAGAGUUUAUUGAAAUCCAGGAAGAAAAAAAAAAAGAGUAUACCUGCCAAAUAACAAAUAAAGCACAACACUAGAAUUGAAACAAGAUACAGUAGCUUUUAGGUUUUUCCCUCGUGACAGUUAAACAGGCAAGGGAAGCCUCGAUACUUUCUCAACUUAUUAUUUCUUCAAUAUAUAGGCUUUAGUUUGACCAAGUUUUUUAAAAGAAAAAACAAUCGGAAAAUUUAUUUUAAAACUUAAUUUUAUUUUUAUAUUUGAAAACGUUAAUAAUUUACUGAAGAAGAUUAAAAGAUAACAUAUUGGUAAAGUUUUUUUUUUCAUUUGUUUGUUUUUUUAAUUGAUGGAAUUUGUAUCGAUAAUGAGCACCAUUAGUGACCCACUUCCUUCCAGCAUAGGAAUGAAUAAUGUGAUGCAUUAAUCGAUGGAAAAUUGUAUCGGUAAUGAACACGAUAAAUGGUAUUUAAUUGUUGAAAAAAAACUUCCCUUUUGUUUUUUGAAGGAAACUCUUCCCUUUCUUAUUCACCAAAAAAAAAAAAAAAAACUUUCUCCUUUCCUCAUAGAUGAAUAAACGUUGUAAAUAAAUACAUAUGGCCUUGGAUGACCGGGUAUGCAAUAUUUUAAGGUUAAAUUAAACAUAGAUGGGUUUGUCUAUCAUAUGCAAUAUUGCAAGGGUUAAGACUACUAAAAAUAAUAUUUUGUUGAAAGAAGUGUGAAAAUUUGAAGUUGAAAGACUAAACAUCAAAUCUUAUAUUAAGCAAAAACUAAUGUUACGUGAAUUAAAAAGUGGAAGUAGAGCUAACAAAUUACCUCCCAAAAAUUAUAGGCCAACAAAUUGCUCCUAAAAAUGUCAUUUUCGACUAGAAAAAAUAUGAAGACAAAAAUUGGCAUUUUUGAAAAUACUUCAUGUAUUCUUAGGAGAAUGACGUCAUGCUAAUCAUUAUUUUCAAAAAUGGUCUUUUCAAUUUCCCCUUUACUAUACAACUUUCAAGAUAUAGUGGGCCACCACUUUUCAGUUACAAAUUUAGUGGAGUCUUUUCAUUUGUUAACCCUUCAUCUUCCUCUCCUUCGUGCAUCCCCAUUCCUCAUCAUUAUAGUGCAUCCAUUCUGAAGAUUUUGUGGAUUUAUUUCCCUCAGAAUUUUCAACUUCCCACUAACUCAAGAAACUAUCAUCUCUUUUAAAACACGUGGCGGUUACUGAAUAUGGAAAAUGAAGGGUUUGUCUCAUCAGUCACCUUCAUCAUUUAUAAAAACCCAUUUCUCUGUACCUUUCGUGAACCAGUUUUCCAUUUCUGUCUUCCAUCUUACAAAACUCUCGCUCUUCUUCCUCCUACAAAAGAGAGAAAUAAUAUCUGAAAAAUGGACGGACUUCCAGACGAACUCCUCACCACCAUUGUUGAAAAAGUUGCUGCCUCUGGAGUCCAAGACCUCUUUAGGUUUAAAGCAACAUAAGUUCGUCACCAAAAGCUCCCAUAAUUAUUAGGCAAUUUGGAAUCCUCCAAUAUUUAAUUGGGUUAAGUGCAACACAAAAUGGUUCUCCAAAUACCAAUACUUCCGCUUGUGGAGGUAUAUUCAGGAACAACCAAGCCAAUUUUCUUCUAUGUUUUUCUGAAAACACAAGCUUGGGGAGUGCCUAUCAUGCUGAGCUAGUUGGAGCAAUGAGAGCAAUUUAAUUAGCUUCGCAACAUCAAUGGAACAUUCUUUGGUUGGAAUGUGAUUCAGCUCUAAUGGUGAAAGCUUUCGGAAAUCAUUAUCUCAUUCCUUGGAAGCUAAUGAAUAGGUGGGAGAACUGUCUACACAUCAUCUAAAGUAUGAACUUCUUGGUUACUCAUAUCUAUAGAGAUUGCAAUUGUUGUGCUAAUUCUCUUGCUAAUAUAGGUCUUAGUCUGAAUCAUCUCACUUGGUGGUCUGAGAUUCCCAAUUGUUUUAGAGCCAACUUUGUUAGAGAUAAGUUAGGAAUACCUAAUUAUAGAUUUAUUAAUCCCUGAGGAGGUUUUGGUUUGGUCCCCUCCUCUUUUGUGUUCCACCUUUUUUUUUUUUAAGGUAAUGAAAAUUAAACACCAGGAAUGGCCUGGAUCCAAUAACAAAUUACAGUGACGUACUGUUCUAAGGAAAGGUAAACGUGUAGAAUCUCUAUGUAACAAAGGUAAAAUAAAAUGUGGAAACACUAUCUCCAAACAUAUCACAGAGGAGCUAAACUUAACUGCUACAAUAAUGAUGUUUGUGACCAUGAUAGGGAUAUUGGGUUCCUUGUCUUGAAAAUGCCGAUUGUUAUGUUCGAUCCAGAUUUGCCAUAUAUACCAAUUGAGUUCCAUCUUUUUCUUUUGUUAAUAUAUUUUGGGGAGUCUUAGCAUCUUGCUUCAAAAAAAAAUAUGCUCUUUUUUUUCUUGGGUUAAAUAUGUUUUUAUUCCUUAUAAAUAUAUCAAUUUUUCGUUUUAGUCCCUCUAAAAUUUUCCUUCAACUUUUAGUCUUUAUAAAUUAACAAUCACUACUUUUGGUCCCUAUUUUUAAGUUAAUUUUUGCAUAAUUUAAUAAAAUUGUGCAAAAAUGUGAAGAAUAUUGUAAAAAAAAUUAUAAUUUUUUAACAAAACACAAAUUAAAUAUGAAUUUUUAACCGUAAAAAAUAUAAAAAUUCACAUUAAAUUCAUGUUUUGAUAAAAAAUUUUAAUUUUUUUUUGGGAGAGAUUUUUAGACUGGUGCUAGUCACAUCCCAAAAAAAACAAGUUACACCCAAAUUUAUUUAAAAUUUUACAAUAAUACCAAAAUUGUCCUCUUCAUGUAAAUGUUUAAAAACCCAUCUUUUAUGAAACCCUUACCCCCUUUCAUCCACAAAUCACCAUAGAUGUGCAACCAAUAUCUGAAUCAACAUCUUAGUUAUUGAUCUGUACUAUAUUCAUAAAGGUUAGUGAAUUUCAUGAAUUUCAUGAAUUUCAUUUUCGAUGAGUUUCUAUUUGUUUAUUGUUUGUUUUGGUAUGAGAUAUGUUCAAUUUGGGUUAGUGUAAAUUAAGUUUACUUAUGUUCAAUUUAGGUUAAUGUAAAUUUGGUUUACUUAUAUCAAUGUAAAUUAAGUUUACUUAUGUUCAAUCUAGGUUAAUGUAAAUUCAGUUUACUUACGUUCAAUCUAGGUUAAUGUAAAUUAAGUUUACUUAUGUUCAAUCUAGGUUAAUGUAAAUUCAGUUUACUUACGUUCAAUCUAGGUUAAUGUAAAUUAAGUUUACUUAUGUUCAAUAUAGGUUAAUGUAAAUUUAGUUUACUUAUGUUCAAUGUAAAUUAAGUUUACUUAUGUUCAAUUUAGGUUAAUGUAAAUUCAGUUUACUUAUGUUCAAUCUAGUUAAUGUAAAUUCAGUUUACUUACUUUCAAUCUAGGUUAAUGUAAAUUAAGUUUACUUAUGUUCAAUCUAGAUUAAUGUAAAUUCAGUUUACUUACUUUCAAUCUAGGUUAAUGUAAAUUAAGUUUAAUUAUGUUCAAUUUAGGUUAAUGUAAAUUAAGUUUACUUAUGUUCAAUUUAGGGGUAUAUUAGUCAUUCUGGGGUGUAACUUGUUUUUUUUUUGGUGUGACUAGCACCAGUCAGAUUUUUAUAAUCGUAUGGUUUUUUCUAAAAAAAAUUAUUCAAUAAUAUGAAUUCUACAUAUGAGUUUAUUUGAAAGAAGGGACCAAAAGUGAAGAUGGAAAAUUGUUUAUCGACUAAAAGUUGAAGAAAUUUUGUACAGAGACUAAAACGAAAAACUGACAUAUUUAUAUGGACUAAAAAUAUAUUUAACCCUUUUUUCUUUUAUAUCUUCUUUUUUCACUUUUCCAUGGAUGAUCAACAAAACCAUUUCAUGGGGAUUUCUAUCAUAUGAUUUUCUUUCUAUAGUGGACUUCAAUGUCCACGACCACUAUAUUAGAAUUUUCGCCAAAUUCUUAAGUUAAAAUGAAUUUAUUGAUAUAGUCAUAUAGAUAUAUGUUCUUUGAGAAUAUAGACGUUGGCAUCGUUCUAGUUGUACUUGUACUUUUGUAGUUUUAUUACAGGUUGUAUUGUACUUUUACAUGAUUGAGAGAUUUCAUUUUGCUUGUCUUGUUGAUUGUUUUGGAUUUCACACUGAUCUUCUGGUUCGCCAUAGCCACAACACAAGGUGAUACUUGCUGAUUCUCAAUAUUGUGACCAGAGGUGCAAUUCAAUCAUAGGUUCCAAUGCUAUUACAUGAUGUCAUUCAUUAAUAUAGUAAAGGAUAUGAUAGAAGAAACAAACAUUAGUGUUCCAUUGAUACCCUAAAACAACCUAAGACACUUUUUUUUCUUCUCCCUGUAGAACAACCUAUCAAUUUAAAAAACGAAAAUAGCCUAUUAUGUUAAUUUAAUAAAUAAUUUUUUAUUUAAAAGGUUUGAAAAAGGUUCAACAAACAUUAAGUAAUUUUACUAAAAUACAAUGAUAGACUUUAAAUAUCCUUCAACUUACACUUUGUUUUUAAACUAAUACACUAGAAACUAAAAGUGACAAAUUUUUAGAACAAAUAUUAUUUUGUUAAUGUGACAAUUACUACCUCAGAGAGUAACUACUAAGAUGACUUUGUUUGGUAGUUUGGAGGGGAGUGAAGAACGUCUAGAGGUGGGAAAAUAUAUGAAAAGUAUAUAGCAUGUAUGUGCAAGUCACGGUUGGACUACUAAAAUCAAGAAGAAUGAAGUAAGUGUUUCUAACUAAGAUUUUCUUUUCCCAACCUAAUAGCUUUUUUCGUGUCAUCCAAAUUUCUCAUUUUCUCCAUGUUUGAAUUAUAUAAUCCGAACUAUUUAUUCAAUAUUUUAAAUUAUAUAAUCCAAACAGCCUAAAUUAUUUCAUUACACCUAAAAAUCACCUUGGUGCAUGUAACUCUUUUAUCAAACAGUUCAGACAAUAUAAUCCAAAAAAGAAAUGAAAGAUACAUAAACACCUGGGAGGACUAUACCAAAGCCCAAGUCACAAUACUAAGGUUAUUCAACAUCUGCCUCAUUAAAAACCUUAUCUUAGGAAAAUUCAGUGGGAUAAAACCUAAGCAAGGGAAAAAGAGUGCAAAGAAAUCCACCAAAUCACAAGGAAAAGAGAACCCUGGAGUAAUCAACAUCAACAAAAUCUAAAUUCAAAAUAUAUCCUAAUUUCUUCCUAUUUAAAGAAUCAAGAAUACAAGGUCGAUAAAAGCUCCCAAAGUGAAAAGCUUUAAAGUGCUAACAAAAUAUAGUCUAAUAGCCAACAGGGGCACUUAAAGCCACCUCUUGUUGAUUGAUACUCUCCAAAAUAGCUUGAGAGGAUGUCAAUUGAUGCUUAAGAACUUCCACAUGUUCACUAAGAACUUCCAUUUGUUCACUCAAAAUGCGUAUCUUCAAGCGUAAAACUUCAACUUCUUUGGUAACAUGUUCCUUGGAAUCCAAUAGUUUCUUUAAUACAUCUUGAGAUUCUUGCAUAUCAGGACACAAAGUGCGCCUUUCGACACCAUCCAACCAAUCCUUAUCAAAACCAAACCUUCGUGCAUCUUGUAAUAACUCCUCAAAUUCAGAGUGGAAUGAGCCCAAUACUUCCAACACACUAUGAGUUUUGAGGAAUUUCAGUAGUUCAGCUAAUAAAUUGUAGGCACAACCCUUGUAUCUAUUACUAAGUGAAGUGUCUUUUAAACGGACAGAAGGAUUCUUAACAAAGAAAUCAUUCAACAAAUAAAAAUUCCCCCAAUCCAAAUGAUUCUUGGAGACCAGUUGCUCAAGCUCACUUUUGACAAGCAAGGAACUUAAAUCUUCUACUUUUUGACAAGGGUCCUCUGAAAUGAUAGGAAAUAAUAACUAAGCCGACUUAAAUACAACAAAGUUAAUUAAAUAUAAGAUCCAAAUAAUUAAAUACCUUUACAAGGCACCAAAGGAAGUUGAUAUGCAGCAAGAGAUGUGAUGCUAGGAGAGGGUUUAGAUUUAGAAACUAUUAUAUCAUCAUCAUUAGGAAAUUGUUCCUCAAUAUUUGAGCCUACUCUUUUGAAAGAAUCAUGAUUUAGAGAACCUGAACAACAUGUAAAAAAGAAUAGAGUUAAAAACUAAAAGGGUGAUGAAUUUUGAAGUAACAUAAGAAUAGAAAAAAAUAUAUAAUCAAAGUAUUUUCACCUUGGUCAUUGGUCUCUGUAGUGGAAAUGGAAAAGGAAGUCAUUUCUAUUUGGCUAUCACCAUCUUCCUACGUAGAUUCAAAUCAACAAAUGAUAUUAUUAUCAUAUUUUAAGUCUUAAUAUGUACUUAAGUAAGGAAGAGUCGUGUUUUUUAAAAUUAAAAUUGGGAAAGGAGGAUCAACACUUAUGACACAUUUUCAAACGCCCAUGAGGGGAUUUGAACCUUGUCCCUUAAAGUUACAAGGUCAAACUCUUGCCUCUGAGCUCACAACUCACAAAUAAAAGAGCUUAAUUCGACUACAAAAUAAUUUCUGAGCUACAGUUUGCCUUAACUUUAGAUACAAGACUGAAAAGCAGUAGACUAAACACAAAAAUUGCACAAAAACUAGUUUAAAACUUGAAUAAAAUGAAUCCAAUUGCUUGGAAAAUAAUGAAUAAAAAACAUGAUAACACUACUUGUUUGAAAAGUUUGUUACAUAAGAUAAACUCACCUGUGAAGAUGUUUUACAGUCAGAAGUAACUAACUGGCCCGAUGAUGAACCUGCUACAUCUAACUGAGUUGACGAUGUUAUUUUCUUGGCAUUAGCUGAUGUAUUUCCUUCUUCAACGUUUAUCUCGAUACCCUGCUUAAAUGUAAAAUGAUGCUUUAGAUUGUAGUAUAAUUCUAUUAAAGUGUCAAAUAGAAUACAAUAAGAAUAGGUGGAAAUGGAAAUACCUUUUGUUCAGGAACAACUUCAUGUGUAAUGGUGGACACAGUUGCUGCUGCUGUUAUUUCUGAUGUAGGGCCUUCCAGCUAAAUGCAUUGCAUGAAAAUGUAAAUUAGUUGCAACAUGUUUUUAAGCAAACCUUAUUUUCUUUGAUAUUUAAUUUUAGCUUUAUGUUGUGUUCCUGCCUUAAAAUCUCAUCUAUGAAUGAUGGAAAAGUGUUUUCUUAUUGUCUAAGGUAACAAGCAUUUUGUUACUGGGUGUUUCUUCACACAUUUCAGGGCUGUGGCUUGCGCUAGGCACAUGAUAUGGCGCACAGGUCCUUGCAUGAGGUAUAUGGGUCAGCUCGCAGGAAUGCCAUAGGUGAUUGGAAGCAGUUUUUCAUCAU